rnacentral:rRNA from 1 species
UACGUAGGGUGCGAGCGUUAAUCGGAAUUACUGGGCGUAAAGCGUGCGCAGGCGGUUCGCUAAGACCUAUGUGAAAUCCCCGGGCUUAACCUGGGAACUGCAUUGGUGACUGGCGGGCUAGAGUAUGGCAGAGGGGGGUAGAAUUCCACGUGUAGCAGUGAAAUGCGUAGAGAUGUGGAGGAAUACCGAUGGCGAAGGCAGCCCCCUAGGCCAAUACUGACGCUCAUGCACGAAAGCGUGGGGAGCAAACAGG